rnacentral:rRNA from 1 species
UACGUAGGGGGCAAGCGUUGUUCGGAAUUACUGGGCGUAAAGGGUGCGUAGGCGGGUCUUUAAGUCAGGGGUGAAAUCCUGGAGCUCAACUCCAGAACUGCCUUUGAUACUGAGGAUCUUGAGUCCGGGAGAGGUGAGUGGAACUGCGAGUGUAGAGGUGAAAUUCGUAGAUAUUCGCAAGAACACCAGUGGCGAAGGCGGCUCACUGGCCCGGUACUGACGCUGAGGCACGAAAGCGUGGGGAGCAAACAGG